rnacentral:rRNA from 1 species
AGAAUCAACGCUGGCGGCGUGCCUAACACAUGCAAGUCGCACGAGAAAGUGGAGCAAUCCACGAGUAAAGUGGCGCACGGGUGAGUAACACGUGAAUAAUCUACCUCCGAGUGGGGAAUAACUGAGAGAAAUCUUAGCUAAUACCGCAUAAUACCCACGGGUCAAAGCAGCAAUGCGCUUGGAGAGGAGUUCGCGGCCGAUUAGCUAGUUGGCGGGGUAAUGGCCCACCAAGGCGAUGAUCGGUAUCCGGCCUGAGAGGGCGCACGGACACACUGGAACUGAAACACGGUCCAGACUCCUACGGGAGGCAGCAGUGGGGAAUUUUGCGCAAUGGGGAAACCCUGACGCAGCAACGCCGCGUGGAGGAUGAAAUCCCUUGGGAUGUAAACUCCUUUCGAUAGGGAAGAUAAUGACGGUACCUAUAGAAGAAGCCCGGCUAACUUCGUGCCAGCAGCCGC